UAAAAAUACAAAAGUAUCACAGCACACUAUUACUGAAACAUUACUUAUUUUCUCAUUGUUACCAUAUAGUUAUAAAAUAAAUUUAUUGGAAUAUAAAUGUUGUACUUACAUUACAGUAUGUAGUAUAUAGUGCAGUAUAAAAAAGUUU